rnacentral:lncRNA from 1 species
GAUAAAACCACAGCAGCUUUUUUGAACUCAGAAGCAUCCAUUAACCCAAUAGCACAAGGAGAGACCUUGGGAGAAGAAGUCAUGAGGACAGUCAACUAGCUCUUUGAAGAGGUCCACGUGGUGGGAAACUGAGGCCUCCUGCCAACGGCCUUGUGAGUGAAUCAUCUUGGAGGUGGAUCCUCAAGCCCCUGUAAAACCUUCAGAUGACCACACAUCUGACUGACAUUUUGACCUCAAUGUUAUGAAAAAUCUUGAGGCCGAAGCACCCACCUAAACCAAUCCUGUAUUCUUCACCUACAGAAACUAUGAGGAAGAAGAGGACAGAUAUUGAGGGGCAACUAAUAGUAUCAGCACAAUGAACGCUCCAGAAGAAGAACCUGAGACUGUCAUCUCCUGGAAUGGGGCUCCCCAGAGCUUCCUCACUCAGGAUGUGCAUAAUGAAUGCAGCAGCCUGGGCAGGGGAGGGCGUCGCAUGCUGGGCCUGUGGUCCCAGGGGCAGCCUCGUCUUUCCCUGGUUCCUUCCAAAGCAAGGUAUUCUGGGCAGGGAGGGAUGAUUUAUGAUCUCUCUUUGGGCUCAGCGUGGUUGCUGUGCGAGGAAGGACGCUGCUCUGCACAGGAGCAGGAGCAGAGCAUCCACACAGCAUGCAGGGGAUUGCUGGACACAUCUCACAUAGUCAGGGUUGGAGAAGACCUCGUGAUCACCUGUUCAGCCUCUCAAGUCUACAGAGGCAGAAAAUGAGGCACAGGGAGAAAAUGGGGCCAGAUGAAGGCCCACUCCUAGCCCGUGCCAGAGCAGAGGAACGUCCACUCAUACCUAAUCCAGUGCAUUGUGCUGAUUCACCUCUCUUGGUGGUGAAUUUUCCCAUCUGGAAAACUAGGCUGAUAUUGUAGAUCCUAGCUUACAAAAAUGUUCUCGACUGGAAUGUGAAAGAAUACACAAUUGGGAG